GUUUAUUGUGCUUAUGUACACAUUCUUACACAUUAGUACCCCCCACAGGGUUUUGGAACACAACCAAUAAACACAUACAAUACACUCAGACACUCCCACACAAAUUCCUCCCCUCUGCCUGUGAUUCAAUUACCUUACACAAUGGGUAAUGUAAUUUAGCACAAGCAGAGAAAUACAAUUUUUCCACAUUAUUCAUAACUUGAAAAAUAUGCAUCACAUUUACAUUUUCAGAAUCAGCAUACUCCAAAUACAAACAUAUGUCAAAAUCCUCCAAAUUGGUCCAGUGGUUCAAAAGAUAGAUCGUAGUCCUUUGUGACCAAAGGAAGCAUGGCUUUUCUGCCCAAAACCAGUUCUACAGAGUCUUCUAUGAUGGAUAUAAUUGGGAAGUAAUCCAAUUAUCUCCAAAGACAGAGGCAAAACUCCAUUGAACACAUGGCAGCAAAAGACAAUAAAACACAUAAAAACAUAUAACUGUGCAGCCAUUGCACAAAACAGGUACAUUCAACAUAUCCCCAGAUAGCUCAGAUCUGAGCGCACAUUAU